AUCCAGCUGACGAGUACCAAAUAGGACAAAAUGCGCUUCCUGGAU
rfam:Schistosoma haematobium scaffold330_9, whole genome shotgun sequence.